rnacentral:rRNA from 1 species
UACAGAGGGGGCAAGCGUUGUUCGGAAUUACUGGGCGUAAAGGGCGCGUAGGCGGCCUGUUAAGUCGAACGUGAAAUCCCCGGGCUCAACCCGGGAACUGCGUCCGAUACUGGCAGGCUUGAAUCCGGGAGAGGGAUGCGGAAUUCCAGGUGUAGCGGUGAAAUGCGUAGAUAUCUGGAGGAACACCGAUGGCGAAGGCAGCCUUCUGGGCCAACACUGACGCUCAUGCACGAAAGCGUGGGGAGCAAACAGG